rnacentral:ribozyme from 14 species
CAUGUCUCUCAAAUUACUCUUCCGCUUUUUUUUUGCUCUCUUCUUCUUCCAACAAAGAAGAAGACUUCUUUUAUAAAAACAACAAAAAAAGGCUU